rnacentral:lncRNA from 1 species
CAUGCAUUUGUGGGCAUGAAAGGGAUUGUCUUCGACUGCCCUUAAGAUUAGAUUUUUCCACCAGAAUGUAAGAAUGUGUGCAUAAGCACGGACACAUGAAUGUGUAUGGUGUUGGUGUGGGCCCAGGCUGCAAGAAUUCUCAUAGCUGGAAGAAAUAUCCUCAGCUCACAAUGACCUGAGUUUCUGCAUAUGUCUCUGGGGGCCAGAUGCAGCACAAUCUAGGAACUGAGCGUAUGAGGUCAGAGGAGAGGAAUGAGGUGCUCUGCAGGGCCGCAGGGCUGAGCCGAGUGCAAGGUACGGAAUGGCUGAAUGUGCACUUGCUGCCAUGGUGACGCGGGGAGCAGACUCGGCGGUCGGGCCGCAGCCGGACAGACGGCCUCGCUGAGGUUCAGCUGCCUUUGAGACAAAAGGUCUGCAGUGUGCCUUACUCCAGCAAGAGAGCAGACAUUCUGGACAAAC